rnacentral:rRNA from 1 species
CUUGGUCAUUUAGAGGAAGUAAAAGUCGUAACAAGGUCUCCGUAGGUGAACCUGCGGAGGGAUCAUUACAGAGUGUCAAAACUCCAAACCCACUGUGAAUCUACUCUUUUAUUCCUUUGGCAGGCGGUCUCUGGGAGAGACCUUCUGAGCCGGCUUGCUGGCGCCUGCCGGAGGAACGCAAAACCACUGAAACUUUUAGUUGUCUGAGCAUAUAUAAAUAAAGUUAAAACUUUCAACAACGGAUCUCUUGGUUCUGGCAUCGAUGAAGAACGCAGCGAAAUGCGAUAAGUAAUGUGAAUUGCAGAAUUCAACGAAUCAUCGAAUCUUUGAACGCAUAUUGCGCCCAUUGGUAUUCCGAUGGGCAUGCCUGUUCGAGCGUCAUUUCACCCCUCAAGUAUCUCAUACUUGGUGUUGGAGCUCUCUAUAGUGGUAACGCUAUAGGCUCUGAAAGCAAUCGGCGGGCGCUUAGUGAACCCGGACGUAGUAAAACUACUUUUCGUUCAGGGCCUUCUGUAAACUUCUAGCCGUUAAGCACCCAAAACUUUUACAAGUUGACCUCGGAUCAGGUAGGAAUACCCGCUGAACUUAAGCAUAUCAAUAAGCGGAGA